rnacentral:rRNA from 1 species
AACGAACGCUGGCGGCACGUUUUAAGCAUGCAAGUCGAAUGGCAGUGGGGGCAACCCCAUGAGAAUGGCGAACGGGUGAGUAACACGUAGGUGAUCUGCCUGACGGAUGGGGAUAGCUUGUGGAAACACAGGGUAAUGCCGAAUGAGCUGACGAGACUUUGGUUUUGUUAGUAAAGGUGCUACGGCACCGCCGACAGAGGAGCCUGCGGCUGAUUAGCUAGUUGGUGGGGUAAAGGCCUACCAAGGCGACGAUCAGUAGCCGGCCUGAGAGGGUGUACGGCCACACUGGAACUGAGACACGGUCCAGACUCCUACGGGAGGCAGCAGCUAAGAAUCUUCCGCAAUGGGCGAAAGCCUGACGGAGCGAUGCCGCGUGAUCGAUGAAGGUCGAGAGAUUGUAAAGAUCUUUUCUACAUGAGGAAUAAGUCUGGGAGGGAAUGCCUGGAUGAUGACGUUAGUGUAGGAAUAAGCCCCGGCUAAUUACGUGCCAGCAGCCGCUGUAA